rnacentral:rRNA from 1 species
GAUGAACGCUGGCGGCGUGCCUAAUACAUGCAAGUCGAGCGAACGGACGAGAAGCUUGCUUCUCUGAUGUUAGCGGCGGACGGGUGAGUAACACGUGGAUAACCUACCUAUAAGACUGGGAUAACUUCGGGAAACCGGAGCUAAUACCGGAUAAUAUUUUGAACCGCAUGGUUCAAAAGUGAAAGACGGUCUUGCUGUCACUUAUAGAUGGAUUCGCGCUGCAUUAGCUAGUUGGUAAGGUAACGGCUUACCAAGGCAACGAUGCAUAGCCGACCUGAGAGGAGGAGCGGCCAAACUGGAACUGAGACACGGGCAAGAAGACUAAGGGAGGCAGCAGUGGGGAAUAUUGGGCAAUGGGAGAAAGCCUGAUAGAGCAAUACCGCGUGAGUGAAGAAGGUCUUCGGAUCGGAAAGCUCUGUUAGUAGGAAAGAAAAGAAGUAGAAGAAAACGUCGACGGCCUGACGGUACCUAAAGAAGAAGCCACGGCUAACUUCGUG